CUAGCACGCAAUUAUAACAUCCUUAAUUGUUAGGUUGUGUCUUCGGCUUAUGCGUGCUUUGCGUUUGCGUGGAUUUGGACCUCUGGUGAUUCUCGCGUGCUUUCAGCCUCGAACUCUAGCCUCAUCACCAUGCGGAUUCCCAGCUCCUAGAUCUCGACGUGGCUGGUGAGCGCGAGAACUCCCAGCCUCGUACUGCCAUGUUAGCUCUGGUGAGGAGCGUGGAUUUGUGAAGAUGGGGACAAGCUGUGCAAACACUUCCUUGAUUGAAAAUUCUGAAUUUCUGCUCGUUUAUGUUAUAUCUCAUAUGAAUUACAGAUGCCGUCUUCCUUUCUGCAGCCGUGCAGCCGAAGUUUUCAUGAAUUUUCAACAAGCGAAACCAGAUAUGAGAUUGGGAUCAGAUAUGUCUAGUCCUGUGAUCUUGUCACUCCACUGAGUGAAUUACAUUUUGAAGUAUGUCCCAAAUUUCACACCUAACAAGUAACAAGCAGUAGUGGUUACUUCUGUUUGAGGUGUUACUGUAGGGAGUAUAAUGCUUGGGAAUGUUUCAGUUGCAGUUGUGAAUCAGUCAGUAUUCAGGACGAAUUUGAAAUGACAGGAUAUGCUGCCCAUACCCAGGUCGAGCAAGAACUGAGAUCAGUACUUUAUGAAAGAGAGAGAAGGGACAAAGUUAUAUAUAACAACUUGGAUAUACAUUUUUUGUUAGCUUGAAUGCUUUUCUGAGUAAUUUUUGUAUAUAAGUAUAUAUAUUUUUCCAUUGAAACUAGCUUUUACCGUCAAA